CUCCAGCAAACUGCAGCGCUAGAGAAGAGGACAAAGCAAGCUCAGUUCAUAACGGGCACAAAGCAGCCUUGGAAUGAAAGGCACUGGGUCACAACUCUUGGCUCUUCAGGAAAGCAGGCAUGGCAGCUUCGCCCAGGGGAGCCAGCAUCAGUCCAACGGGGCUGCUGCUGCUGCUGCUGCUGGUGGUGGCGGAACCUCACCUGUUGCAUUCCCCGACCCUUCUUGCGAAUGCUAAUACCCUCUCCCUGGCGCGAGGGAAGAUACCACCAGCGCCGCCGCAGCAGCUCCCAUGGAAAGCGCGAAAACAACCCACGUCUGCAAGAGAUGAAGCGACUCGGCUGCUCCCGCCGCCGCCGCCGCCCCUUCCUCCCCGCCACCCACCACCCCUUACCUUGCACGGUGAAGACACACAGCAAGAUCAUAGCGGCCCUUGGCAGUGAGGGAAACAAUGCGGCUCUUGGGUGCUGAGGUAAUGGAAGCAGGCCGGCCGGGGGCGGGCUGGAGGAGACAGAGCGGGGCAGAGAGAGCUGCUUCUGGAUGCAGCUGCUUCUUGUCAAGAGCAGCCGUGCCAGCAUGGCGCCCCCACCCCCCACCUGGCUCCGGCUGGCUGGGCGUUUGUUUCUCACUGCCUGUGGCAUUGUUGGUCAGCAUGAUGACCUCGGAGUCCUCGUCCUCCCCUCCCUCCACUCUGACUCGUCGCACGCAUGCUCCGCUCAAGUUGAUCCUAGCACGCACGUGCUGUAGAGAAGCAACGAGGAGAGGACGACGAGUGUUGCCUGCCUGCCUGUUGCUGCUGCUCCGAGUCCCGUGGAAAGGAAGAGGAUCUGCUUGGCCAGCACAGCAACAUCACCACCACCACCACUACCACUAAAGUUUUCACAGGGGGAUCAGAGCUAUUGCUUAAAGAUGGCGAGAAUAUGGAUUCCAGUUGCAACAAGUGUAACAUUUGUAGCACUUGCCCAUCGUGUGUACUAAAAAUUCUGGCAUCCAACAGACUUCAUGACAAGGCAUAUGAUAACCUUUAUGAACUGUAUAAAGUCAUCUGCACACUAUCAGUUACUCAAGUCCAAUGUGAGAGGACAUUUUCAAAGCUAAAGAUCAUAAAGACAAGGCUAAGAAAUUCACUGUCUGAGGAGAACUUGGAAUCAUACAUGUUGCUAUCCAUUGAAAAGGAAUUGUCAGAUGAAUUGGAUGCAGAAGCAAUUAUUGACAGAUUCGCACAAUCAUCUAGUGAACUCAAAAGAUUGCUCUUAAUAUAGUGGACUGCAUGCAAUAUGCUUUUGAACUACCUGUUAAUGUGUAAAAUGUUCAGUACAAGCAAACUAUUUAAAAAUAUCCACCAUUUAUUUUUAAAAAAAUUAAAAAUUAAAUUAUAACAAUCUGUACUGUA